rnacentral:rRNA from 1 species
UCUUCCCUCUUUCUUCGUGCCUAAUACAUGCAAGUCGAGCGAACAGACGAGGAGCUUGCUCCUCUGACGUUAGCGGCGGACGGGUGAGUAACACGUGGAUAACCUACCUAUAAGACUGGGAUAACUUCGGGAAACCGGAGCUAAUACCGGAUAAUAUAUUGAACCGCAUGGUUCAAUAGUGAAAGACGGUUUUGCUGUCAUUUAUAGAUGGAUCCGCGCCGCAUUAGCUAGUUGGUAAGGUAACGGCUUACCAAGGCAACGAUGCGUAGCCGACCUGAGAGGGUGAUCGGCCACACUGGAACUGAGACACGGUCCAGACUCCUACGGGAGGCAGCAGUAGGGAAUCUUCCGCAAUGGGCGAAAGCCUGACGGAGCAACGCCGCGUGAGUGAUGAAGGUCUUCGGAUCGUAAAACUCUGUUAUUAGGGAAGAACAAAUGUGUAAGUAACUAUGCACGUCUUGACGGUACCUAAUCAGAAAGCCACGGCUAACUACGUG